CCCGCUGAACUUAAGCAUAUCAAUAAGCGGAGGAAAAGAAACCAACAGGGAUUGCCUUAGUAACGGCGAGUGAAGCGGCAAAAGCUCAAAUUUGAAAUCUGGCUUCCUUUUUGGGGCCCGAGUUGUAAUUUGGAGAGGAUGCUUUGGGUGCGGCUGCGGUCUAAGUCCCCUGGAACGGGGCAUCAUAGAGGGUGAGAAUCCCGUCUGGGACCGCUGAGUCAUGCCUAUGUAAAGCUCCUUCGACGAGUCGAGUUGUUUGGGAAUGCAGCUCUAAAUGGGUGGUAAAUUUCAUCUAAAGCUAAAUAUUGGCGAGAGACCGAUAGCGAACAAGUACCGUGAGGGAAAGAUGAAAAGAACUUUGAAAAGAGAGUUAAACAGUACGUGAAAUUGUCAAAAGGGAAACGCUUGAAACCAGUAUUGGGCGGCGCAAAUCAGCCUUUUUUGGUGCAUUUUGCGACGCUUGGGUCAGCAUCAGUUUGGUUUUUGAAGUAAAAAGCACCUGGAAGGUAGUCCCCAAUUUUGGGGAUGUUAUAGCCUGGUGUCAUGCUUUGGACUGGACUGAGGACAGCAGCUCGCGCUGGGGAAUACGCCGCCUUGAAAGACGUGAUUGCAAACAACGUGUUGAUUGCAAUUACCGUCCGAGAGCCCGGUGUAGUACCACACUGAGCUUAGGAUGCUGACGAAAUGGUUUUAAACGACCCGUCUUGAAACACGG
rnacentral:rRNA from 1 species